rnacentral:rRNA from 1 species
GAUGAACGCUGGCGGCGUGCCUAACACAUGCAAGUCGAGCGGACAAAGGGGGAGUUCGCCUCGCUGACGCGGCCGGCGGACGGGUGAUGAACACGUGGCUAACCGGCCGAUAGGACUGGGGUAACGUCGGGAAACCGGAUCCCAUAUCGGAUAAUAGAUUGAACGGCAGGGAUCAAUAGUGCAAGACGGAUUUGCUGUGCCUUAUAGAUGGAACCGCGCCGCUUUAGCUAGUUGGUAAGGUAACGGCUUACCAAGGCAACGAUGCGUAGCCGAUCUGAGAGGGUGAUCAGUCACACUGGAACUGAGACACGGUCCAGACUCCUACGGGAGGCAGCAGUAGGGAAUCUUGCGCAAUGGGCGAAAGCCUGACGCAGCCAUGCCGCGUGUGUGAUGAAGGUCUUCGGAUUGUAAAGCUCUGUUAGUUGGGAGGAAGGAAUGUAUAUGUAACUCUGGCUGUCUUGACGUUACCUACAGAGUAAGCCCCGGCUAACUACGUG